UCAUUUCGCAAGGGACAAACGGAAUGAAUAGUGCCUACUCGGGAAAAGACCGUUCUGCCCUCCUUUGAGAUUUUCCUUGUUUUUUGCUGCGUGCUUUUCUUCACUCACAGAACAGUCAAUCUCUUCGAUUUGAUUGUUUCGUUUCGUGCCUGGGUUGUUCUGUUUUCCAACAAUGGGUUUGGUUUGUCUUCGGCUUUAGGAUAAUCGUGUUUGGGGGGGGUAGGUGAUCUGCUACAACUAAACCAGACUGUAUGCAAAGAAGUGUGUAUUAUUCUUCUGCCGCUGUUCCUGUGUACAUUGUUUGGGAUUAUCUCACUGUCUUAUUGCUAUUCAGCAAAGUGCGGGCAACUAUUGCUUGUACGAAAGCUAAACUACACUUUUCCUGUUCAUUUCGCAUACGACAAAAGGAAUGAAUAGUGUCUCCUCCGGAAAAGACCAUUCUGCCCUCCGUUGAGACAAAUUCUAAAUAUAUGAAAGCAACAGUGUAUAGAGAGUCGUCGAACGCAGAUAUUGAUCUUGAUUGUUUGACAAUUUCAACUGCAUCCGUGAAGCUGCCAGAUACUGAGGUUGGGUUGGCACGAAAGUUGGCCUGAUAACAAGUACAAAAGACCGCUGGGGUAGGAAAAAGAAGAGGAAAUAUUGAAGAUUUCGGUCGACUUUCGGAGGACGGUUUGGGUUGAGGAAGGUUUUAAUAGAAGAAGAGGUGAUGGUGUGACAGAUUAAAAGCCUAAUCCUUCAAUAUAUUUGAUAGCUGCAAAGGCUACAAAAAGGUUUUCGGAGCAGCUUGAGGCUCUGGAAAGAUCUGCAGAGGCAAUAUCUUUUGGUGGAAUGAACCACACUUUCCUAUUGUGUUCUGAUACAUGUUAGCACGCAUAUAUAUUGAUUGAUUUGUAGAUGAUGAAUGCUAGGCAGCCGUCGAAGCGAUGAUGAAUGUGAGGAGAGCUUCUCUUUCUUAUUCAAAAGGAAUGCAAAUUGCUUGAUACUAUUUCCUUUUUUAUUUGUGCUUUUUGUAAUUCUUUUUGGGUUGUUGUAAAUUCAGAGAUGGAUAUGAUGAAAGAGAUUGUCAAAAUUGUUGUUUGGUGAAGACAUGUCAGUUUUUUGUGAUAAACCCACAAUCCCCAAUUGGUUGAAAUUAAUGCACAUUCUCUAUUCAGCAAAUGGUUCUCCGAAAGUGGCAAGUUGAAUGUGUCUGCUUUUUGUAAAGUAAAGUUGGAUUUGGAACAUGCAGUUGUACCAUUAAUCUAAGGUUGCAAAGCUUUCCAAAAAAUUCAAGAGAGGUAGAGGAGGAAACCAAUCUGGUAUUUAUUUUGAUUGAUGAAGUUGAAAGCCUUGCUGCUGCUACAAAAUCUGCUUUAUCAGGUUCUGAACCUUCAGAUUCUAUUCAGGUCACACCAGCUUCUUUUCUAAAAUGGCACCUUCAAAUUAACAUGCCAGAUGGUGAAUGCGCUACUAACUCAGCUGGAGAAGUCAAAAUCAGCACCAAAUGUGAUAAUUUUGACAACAUCCAAGAUAACUGCUGCUAUUGUGGCGGCCCAUCACAUCUAAGGACAAACGAACUGCUGACCAACACAGCCGUCAACAGUAGAUGAAGCAGCUAAUGACACAUCUGAAGACCUCAUGUAGAAUAAUUGGUCCAGACUAAAAAUGUAGGCUAUUUGGCAUGGUGGUAACCACUUUUGUAAUCUGUAUAUAACAUAGAGCUGCAGUUAGAAUACGAAUUUUUUGAGAAAUGUAACUGCACAAGCUUGGUUAAAAUACCAGCUUCUACUCGAGAAUAUCCAAUUUUGAACUAAGUAAGUAUAAAAGUC